AGCGAACGCUGGCGGCAGGCUUAACACAUGCAAGUCGAGCGGGCAUCCUUGUGGUGUCAGCGGCAGACGGGUGAGUAACGCGUGGGAACGUGCCCUUCGGUUCGGAAUAACUCAGGGAAACUUGAGCUAAUACCGGAUACGUGCGAGAGCAGAAAGGUUUAUCUGCCGAAGGAUCGGCCCGCGUCUGAUUAGCUAGUUGGUGAGGUUAUGGCUCAUCAAGGCGACGAUCAGUAGCUGGUCUGAGAGGAUGAUCAGCCACACUGGGACUGAGACACGGCCCAGACUCCUACGGGAGGCAGCAGUGGGGAAUAUUGGACAAUGGGGGCAACCCUGAUCCAGCCAUGCCGCGUGAGUGAUGACGGCCUUAGGGUUGUAAAGCUCUUUUCUCCGGGACGAUAAUGACGGUACCGGAGGAAUAAGCCCCGGCUAACUUCGUG
rnacentral:rRNA from 1 species